UUUAAAAAUAAUUCUAUGCAUUCUCAUGCUUAUUUAAUCGAGCCUUUGGUUUAGGUAAGUUUAAGGUUUGUAUUUACUUCGGACCAGUUAACAAAACUCAAGCCCAUGCCCUUUCAGUUAAGGUUUUACAUUUCGAACCAGAAUCCAAAACUCAGUCUAAGUGGGUUAUAGGACAGCUAGUGAUAACGUAAUUUAUCUUUUUAUUUUGCUUUUUUGUUUAUAACGUAAUUUAUUAGCUAAAUGUAUGGAGUGCGAGAGUGUGCGCCGUGUGUAUAGGAUGCAUGGGGUUAGGUUAAACUAAAGGAAUUAAAAUUUUGAGAGCAUAUUUAAAGACGAAAUAUCUUUU